AUGAACGCUGGCGGCGUGCCUAAUACAUGCAAGUCGAGCGAACAGACGAGGAGCUUGCUCCUCUGACGUUAGCGGCGGACGGGUGAGUAACACGUGGAUAACCUACCUAUAAGACUGGGAUAACUUCGGGAAACCGGAGCUAAUACCGGAUAAUAUAUUGAACCGCAUGGUUCAAUAGUGAAAGACGGUUUUGCUGUCACUUAUAGAUGGAUCCGCGCCGCAUUAGCUAGUUGGUAAGGUAACGGCUUACCAAGGCAACGAUGCGUAGCCGACCUGAGAGGGUGAUCGGCCACACUGGAACUGAGACACGGUCCAGACUCCUACGGGAGGCAGCAGUAGGGAAUCUUCCGCAAUGGGCGAAAGCUUGACGGAGCAACGCCGCGUGAGUGAUGAAGGUCUUCGGUUCGUAAAACUCUGUUAUUAGGGAAGAACAAAUGUGUAAGUAACUAUGCACGUCUUGACGGUACCUAAUCAGAAAGCCACGGCUAACUACGUG
rnacentral:rRNA from 1 species